UCCUGCAGUUAACCGAUCGCCUGUGCCAAGCAGCCGCGGUAAUUCCAGCUCCAAUAGCGUAUAUUAAAGUUGUUGUGGUUAAAAAGCUCGUAGUUGGAUCUCGGCGGACUGAGGGCGGUUUGCUUGCUAGUAUUACUGCCCUAUAGUCCGUAGUUUUGCCAGAGGUUUCGGGGUGCUCUUAAUCGAGUGUCCCGGGAUGCUGGCAGGUUUACUUUGAAAAAAUUAGAGUGCUCAAAGCAGGCUAUUACGCCUGAAUAUUCGUGCAUGGAAUAAUAGAAUAGGAAGUCGUUUCUAUUUUGUUGGUUUUCGGAAAUCGACUUAAUGAUUAAUAGGGACAGUCGGGGGCAUUUGUAUUCAAACGACAGAGGUGAAAUUCUUGGACCGUUUGAAGACAAACUACUGCGAAAGCAUUUGCCAAGAAUGUUUUCAUUAAUCAAGAACGAAAGUUAAAGGUUCGAAGGCGAUUAGAUACCGCCCUAGUUUUAACCAUAAACGAUGCCAGCUAGCGAUCUGCGGACGUUUUUUUUGUAGACUCCGCAGGAAGCUUCCGGGAAACCAAAGCAUUUGGGUUCCAGGGGAAGUAUGGUUGCAAAGCUGAAACUUAAAGGAAUUGACGGAAGGGCACCACCAGGAGUGGAGCCUGUGGCUUAAUUUGACUCAACACGGGAAAUCUCACCAGGCCCGGACACUGGAAGGAUUGACAGAUUGAUAGCUCUUUCUUGAUUCGGUGGGUGGUGGUGCAUGGCCCGUUCUUAGUUGGUGGAGUGAUUUGUCUGGUUAAUUCCGAUAACGAACGAGACUCUGUCCUGCUAAAUAGUGUCUGCUUCUCUUUUGAGCAGACAAUUCUUCUUAGAGGGACUGGCGACUCUUAGUCGCACGAGAUUGAGCAAUAACAGGUCUGUG
rnacentral:rRNA from 1 species